rnacentral:tRNA from 1 species
GGAAAUAUGCCUGAAUCAAAGGACCACUUUGAUAGAGUGGAUUAUGAAAGUUAAAAUCUUUCUAUUUCCU